UUAAGUUCAGCGGGUAUUCCUACCUGAUCCGAGGUCAAUUUUCAGAAAGUUGGGGGGUUUUACGGCAAGAGAACCGCUAGUCUUUAUAAACGAGGUAUAGAAUUACUACGCUCAAAAUUCUAGCGAGCCCGCCACUAAAUUUCAGAGGGUACUCUUUUACAAGUAUUCCUCCAACACCAAAACCGAAGUUUUGAGGGUUG
rnacentral:misc_RNA from 1 species